rnacentral:rRNA from 1 species
UACGGAGGGUGCAAGCGUUAUCCGGAUUCACUGGGUUUAAAGGGUGCGUAGGUGGGCUGGUAAGUCAGUGGUGAAAUCCCCAAGCUUAACUUGGGAACUGCCAUUGAUACUAUCAGUCUUGAAUACCGUGGAGGUUAGCGGAAUAUGUCAUGUAGCGGUGAAAUGCUUAGAUAUGACAUAGAACACCGAUUGCGAAGGCAGCUGGCUACACGAAUAUUGACACUGAGGCACGAAAGCGUGGGGAUCAAACAGG